ACACACAGAACCGUGACCGGUCCCGGAAAGGCGACUUUCCGGGGGAAAGAGGGAAUGCCGUGCGGCGCAUCCGCGCCAAUCCGGCAACUGCCCCCGCAACUGUAAGCGGAGAGCCGGGCCAAGACGCCACUGGAGCAAUCCGGGAAGGCAGGCCCAGGCAACGACCCGCGAGUCAGGAGACCUGCCGGACACCCGCGGCCCAG
rnacentral:ncRNA from 2 species